GCAUGGGUUUGGAUUUAUGGCAGGUCCGUCCCCCUGGGCCUCUCAUAGUGCCCCAUGCCAGAGCAAGCUGCGGCCCGGAACCACUGCCUGGCCCUUACCCAUGGGCUGUGGGCACUGAUGCGGGUCGCACAGGA